rnacentral:rRNA from 1 species
UACGGGGGGGGUAAGCGUUGUUCGGAAUUACUGGGCGUAAAGGGCUCGUAGGCGGCCAACUAAGUCAUACGUGAAAUCCCUCAGCUUAACUGGGGAACUGCGUCUGAUACUGGAUGGCUUGGAUUCGGGAGAGGAAUGCGGAAUUCCAGGUGUAGCGGUGAAAUGCGUAGAUAUCAGGAGGAACACCGGUGGCGAAGGCGGGUCUCUGGGCAGUAACUGACGCUGAGGAGCGAAAGCGUGGGGAGCGAACAGG